CGAACGCGGAUUAGCCCAAACCAAAGUUGUUACGGCAAUUUUGGGGUUGUAGGACCACAAUAUUCGAUGCUAAGUGAAUUAGAACUGUUUGGAAAGACAGACCAAAGAGGGUGAUAGUCCCGUAAAAGUAAGCAAAGUUAUUGAUAGUGGUAUCCUGAGUAGUGCGGGACACGAGUAAUCCUGUAUGAAUCCACCGGGACCAUCCGGUAAGGCUAAAUACUCCUGAGAGACCGAUAGUGAACUAGUACCGUGAGGGAAAGGUGAAA
rnacentral:rRNA from 12 species